UGUCCCCCAACCACGGCUGCCCCCUGCGCGGCUGGGCUCACUCUCACACUUUCCAGUCUGUGAAAAUGUGACUCAGGUGGGGAACGGAGAGGGGCGGCCCCAGCUUUCCCUGCUCGGCCACUUCCGUCUCGCCAAAUCUGUCCUGUGGGCCUCUUGCAAGUGCUGGCGACUGUUCUAGGUUUCAUGGGGGUGGUGGGGGGGGUGGAGCGGUCACAGCAAGUGCAUGAGGGGGAGUCAAAGCUGUGGUUGUGUGGAACCCCGAUUCCACUGGGUUCAGGCAGACGGUAGAAGAGGCGGAUACCCUACAAGAACACGAGGGGCUUGGACGGCGGCAUGCACGGUCGGAGGAGAGUCCCCACACGAGGUAGUGCUUUCCUUCCUGGAGUUUGAGCGCCUCUCUGCACUUGAUGUGGCUGAUGAAGCGACGCUCUUGCCCGGCCUGCACUUCAUCUGAGCCUGUGGCAGCGGGCAGGGAGCCAGGGGGGUGAUGCUGAGCCUGAGCUGCGGCUGGUGGGGGUGGGGAGGGAGGGCGGGAGGGCGGCAGGAGGCUGACCUGACUUGAUGGUGUUCUCAAUGACCAUUAAAUAUUCGUCAAAGUCA